rnacentral:tRNA from 1 species
ACUCCCUUAGUAUACCCAGUACAGUUGACUUCCAAUCAACCAGCCCCAGAAUAACCCUGGGAGAGAGUA